rnacentral:tRNA from 1 species
GGGGGUGUGGCUCAGUGGUAGAGCGUCCGCUUUGCAUGCGGAAGGCCCGGGUUUCGAUCACCCGCUCCUCCA